UUCUGUUCCCUCUCUUCUACUAGUCUUCUUUUUAGAUCUCCUCCACUGAUUUCUAGGGUUCCAUCGGCGCUCUAGAUCUCGCUGCGACUGGAAUAACCACUGGAUUGGUGUCGACUUUCUCUCAAAUCGGCGGUUCGAUUCCAAUCGCAGAUCUGAUUCGCCGAUUCUGAGCUCUCUAUCUCUUGCUCACCAUGGCUGCCGCUAACGCCCCGAUCACUAUGAAGGAAGUCUUAACUUUGCCGAGC
rnacentral:misc_RNA from 1 species